UAGGGAAUCUUCGGCAAUGGGGGCAACCCUGACCGAGCAACGCCGCGUGAGUGAAGAAGGUUUUCGGAUCGUAAAGCUCUGUUGUAAGAGAAGAACGUGUGUGAGAGUGGAAAGUUCACACAGUGACGGUAACUUACCAGAAAGGGACGGCUAACUACGUGCCAGCAGCCGCGGUAAUACGUAGGUCCCGAGCGUUGUCCGGAUUUAUUGGGCGUAAAGCGAGCGCAGGCGGUUUAAUAAGUCUGAAGUUAAAGGCAGUGGCUUAACCAUUGUUCGCUUUGGAAACUGUUAAACUUGAGUGCAGAAGGGGAGAGUGGAAUUCCAUGUGUAGCGGUGAAAUGCGUAGAUAUAUGGGGGAACACCGGUGGCGAAAGCGGCUCUCUGGUCUGUAACUGACGCUGAGGCUCGACAGCGUGGGGAGCAAACAGG
rnacentral:rRNA from 1 species